rnacentral:rRNA from 1 species
AGAGUUUGAUCAUGGCUCAGAUUGAACGCUGGCGGCAUGCCUUACACAUGCAAGUCGAACGGCAGCACGGGAGCAAUCCUGGUGGCGAGUGGCGAACGGGUGAGUAAUACAUCGGAACGUGUCCUGUAGUGGGGGAUAGCCCGGCGAAAGCCGGAUUAAUACCGCAUACGAUCUGUGGAUGAAAGCGGGGGAUCUUCGGACCUCGCGCUACAGGGGCGGCCGAUGGCAGAUUAGCUAGUUGGUGGGGUAAAGGCCUACCAAGGCGACGAUCUGUAGCUGGUCUGAGAGGACGACCAGCCACACUGGGACUGAGACACGGCCCAGACUCCUACGGGAGGCAGCAGUGGGGAAUUUUGGACAAUGGGCGAAAGCCUGAUCCAGCAAUGCCGCGUGUGUGAAGAAGGCCUUCGGGUUGUAAAGCACUUUUGUCCGGAAAGAAAACCUCGUGGUUAAUACCCGUGGGGGAUGACGGUACCGGAAGAAUAAGCACCGGCUAACUACGUGCCAGCAGCCGCGGUAAUACGUAGGGUGCAAGCGUUAAUCGGAAUUACUGGGCGUAAAGCGUGCGCAGGCGGUUCGCUAAGACAGAUGUGAAAUCCCCGGGCUUAACCUGGGAACUGCAUUUGUGACUGGCGGGCUAGAGUAUGGCAGAGGGGGGUAGAAUUCCACGUAGCAGUGAAAUGCGUAGAGAUGUGGAGGAAUACCGAUGGCGAAGGCAGCCCCCUGGGCCAAUACUGACGCUCAUGCACGAAAGCGUGGGGAGCAAACAGGAUUAGAUACCCUAGUAGUCC